AGAACCGAAUGAUCCAAGAUCACGCGAAAUCGUCAACAAUCAAAUCCGGCUAACUUACUUAGCGAGGUACGAAGAACGGACCCCUGUUAAAACAACAACAACAACAAAAAACAGUCACCUGAUGCACAGGAAGCAUUGUUGUCUGUGUGAGGACCUUUGCAUUUCAAAUUGAAAGUUACAUUAAAUUAGCAACUAAACUAUUCUGAACUUCAGCAUUUCAAAUUAAGCAUUAUAUAUUUAAUAUAUUUAAAAUAUAUGCAUUUAAUACAUUAGAAAUGUAUACAAAUUUUUUUGUUUUCCUGUGUGUGAACUGUGAUGCUACAUAUGAGACUUUGUGGUCAAAGAGUUUCGAUGUGAAGAACAUGUGCCGCCUUCCAGUUUCCUGUUUUUUGACUUAAAAACUUAACAUGGUGUUACUAUUUGUAUUGAUAUAAGACAUUAUCAGCUGAUUUAUAAAUCUUAUUGUUCCAAAUGUUGGAAUUGCAGCAGUAUCAGUUCUGUUAUAAGUGAAAUCUUUUCAUUUGGUUUUAAAGAGAGAGAUCCUCCAGCAGCAGCAGCCAUCUACUCAUCAGUGAGAAGAACAGCAGCAGACGACCGAUACGGGUCAAAGAGGAGUAAAGAUGACGUCAGUUAUGGAGAAAUCACCAUCAGGACAAACAGCAGGCACAGAGAUCUUCCACCAGAGCCAGCGGUCAUUUACUCCUUACUGAAGCUGAGCCACACACCUACACCACAGUGUAACCAGUCUGACCAGUGUGACCAGUGACAUCCAGCUGGCUGCCAAACAAAUCCCUGCUCUCCUCUCUAUAUUAUAUAUUAUUUAUUUAAUCAUAAUCUGUGUGUGUUUACAGUCAUACAGCUGCACUGAACCAGUGAUGA